rnacentral:rRNA from 1 species
GACGAACGCGGGCGGCGUGCCUAAUACAUGCAAGUAGAACGCUGAAGAGAGGAGCUUGCUCUUCUUGGAAGAGUUGCGAACGGGUGAGUAACGCGUAGGUAACCUGCCUUGUAGCGGGGGAUAACUAUUGGAAACGAUAGCUAAUACCGCAUAACAAUGGGUGACCCAUGUCAUUCAUUUGAAAGGGGCAACUGCUCCACUACAAGAUGGACCUGCGUUGUAUUAGCUAGUAGGUGAGGUAACGGCUCACCUAGGCGACGAUACAUAGCCGACCUGAGAGGGUGAUCGGCCACACUGGGACUGAGACACGGCCCAGACUCCUACGGGAGGCAGCAGUAGGGAAUCUUCGGCAAUGGGGGCAACCCUGACCGAGCAACGCCGCGUGAGUGAAGAAGGUUUUCGGAUCGUAAAGCUCUGUUGUAAGUCAAGAACGAGUGUGAGAGUGGAAAGUUCACACUGUGACGGUAGCUUACCAGAAAGGGACGGCUAACUACGUGCCAGCAGCCGCGGUAAUACGUAGGUCCCGAGCGUUGUCCGGAUUUAUUGGGCGUAAAGCGAGCGCAGGCGGUUUGAUAAGUCUGAAGUUAAAGGCUGUGGCUCAACCAUAGUUUGCUUUGGAAACUGUCAAACUUGAGUGCAGAAGGGGAGAGUGGAAUUCCAUGUGUAGCGGUGAAAUGCGUAGAUAUAUGGAGGAACACCGGUGGCGAAAGCGGCUCCCUGGUCUGUAACUGACGCUGAGGCUCGAAAGCGUGGGGAGCGAACAGG